AUGCGUAAAAAAGCUGUAUAUGGCAGAUAUCCGGCACCGGCGACUCUGGAGCGAGGACGCGCUUUAGCACCGGCGUCGGGUUGGCUGAUGCAAGUCAGCAGAGCGACUUCACCAUCGAGGAGGGAAAAAACACACCGAGUCCAAAACCGGAAAUACAUCAGGAUUCAUCAUGACUUCCCUAAAUGUUCGCCCCGACACAAAGCAACAGGUGAGGGGGUAAUGGAUACAGGUUUGCACGCACACCUAAGGAGCAAUAGCUGGUUUAGCAUAUGCGCCUAUUUUGCCUGUUUGUUUAUUGUUUUGUUAUUAGCUAUGUGCUGAAAGAGCCGAGUCAUAGCUGGGACCUCACGAGGGUGGUCUUAAAAGGAUGGUGCUGUCAGUCAUCUGCUGACUAUCCAUUUUUGUCUAUAAACGCCGUUUUAUUUCCCUUCUGACACGCCAAACAUAAAUGCUGUUGUAAUAAAUACUGUGUUUGUCUGUUCCAGGUGGAUAGCUUCUGCCAAAAGCUCAAUAAAGAGGUACAUUUCUUCCAUAGUUUCUUUCACUUUCACUAUUAGGCCUAUCAUAUUUUAUUUAUUUAUGUGAGGUUGUUUUUCAAUCUAUUCUUGUCCCAUGUUUCUCUAUAGGGAGAAGACUUGGUGAAAACAUUUUUUCCACAGAAGAUUGAAGAGAUGCAGCUGAUGUUAACAGUAUGGAAGAUCACUCUUUUAUAUAUUUGAAAGGAUUUUAGGACCUGUUUUGUUGUAUAGGGCAACACAGGGUGGUUAGGUAUUCGGAAGAGUAGUGACCAGCAUUUUUUCAAGAAAGUAGCAUGGCAAAGUAAACAUAAUAUACUGUGCAUGGCAAGUGUUAGAACCACAUAGUAUGGGUGAGGUUAACUCUAUUUGUACCAUAGGUAGUGUUGUUUUGUAAUAUUUAAACAGAGAUGACCAUGAAAACACACACACAUUAACUGGACAGACUGACAGAAGACUAUUUACUAGUUUUAUUAUAAAUGUAUUGCUGUAAUAAGCUGUUAAACCUGUAAUUUAAGUGUGUGAUUUGAAUAAUAUGCUCUUGAAAUUCUUGUUUUCCCCCCAACAUGCAUUUGUAUGUCCAAACCCUGCCAUUGAUGUCAAAUGCUUCACCUCAUACAUAUUGUGCAUUUGUCAGACUUCCUUCAUCUGCAAAGACCUGGACACUCUGAAGGUCCUGCUGACAUCCCGAUGCCGGACCCGGCCAAAGAGGAGGCCAAACGCAAGAAGAAGGAGGAGGCGGUGGGUGAUGGCUGCUGUACUCUUAUCUCGCUCUCAAUAGGAAGCAGACGUAGAAGGUUAAAUGUAUUGUUUGCGUUUAUAACAUGUGUACAGUACCGGCUUUUCUUUAUUUUCGACACUGUUUCCAUUGUGUGAUUCUCAUUGAAGAUAUUUAACUAUUAAUGAACAAGUGGGAUUAUGUAGGAAAUAAAAAAAGGGAGCAAUAACUCAAAAUAAGUUUUAAUUAUUCAAAAUUGCCACCUUUUCUCAAUGAGCUUCAUAAGGUCGUCACCGGAAAUGGUUUUAAAUCAUGAAGCCAAUUGAGAAAAUGUCAAAAGUGCAAAGCAGUAAUCAAAGCAAAAGGCGGCUAUUUUGAAGAAUCUAUUUCACCUUUUUUUUGUUUAACCUCUAAACCCCUGCCUUAACCGAGUGCAUUUUCUGCUGUUUUGUUUUACCCAAAUCCAGAAGUCACAUUUGAAAGCUAAUACCUACAAACUUGUCGCAUUGUUGCUGCAUUUUUUUAAAGUGUUUUGUCGUGUUUUCUUCUCUUUUUUGUCACUUUUUCAUUGCUUUUUUGGUCACUGUUUUGUUAUUUUUCACUUCAUUAUGUGUUGUUGUUGCUUUUCUGGCACGUUUUGCCGUCAUUUUUAAAUCACUUUUAUUGUUGCAUUUUUAUUGCAUUAUUCUUGCUUUUGCGGCACGACUUUCUUCACUAUUGUUGACACUUUUCUUCCCCCAAGAAGCUUCUAGAUUUAGGUAAUUCCAAACUGGAGAACAUGUGCUCGAUUCAGGUUUGGGGUUAAAAGAUUAAAACAUAAUUCCAUUCGUGUUCAUUCAUAAAUUAAUGCCUUCAGUGAGAAUCUAUCAUGUAAACAGUCUUGAAAAGCGUUUAUAAACUUUUGAUGGGUACUUUACAUAAAUCGCUAUAAUGGUCAGAUAAAAGUGCCAUCCCCAAUCCUGAAAAAUAAUAGUUAUAUUCAAACCAGUGUUUUUGCUCUACUCUAAAUUGUACUGUGAAUCAUUGCAUCAUUAGGAGGCGUGACUGGCCCGGUAGCUCAGUUUAUAGAGAAGCUAGUCUAACAAACAAUCUCUGAAUGCUGCCAAUGUGCCCUUUGGCAAGACCCUCUAUCUCUUUGUUAAUGUGUUUAAGUUUGACUGUGAACUGAAUGAACAGUCAAACACUUUGAGAAGCCUGUGGAGCUUAGAACGUAUGCUUUUGUAAGAACAAGAAAAUCCAUCACUUUAAAAUGCCACUUAUGUAACGUGAUUUGUGGCGACAUGCGUCUGAGUUCACUUUGUUCCAUUGGAGAUAAUUGACUUAAUUGGGUAAUAUUCAUGAAGUGGUAAUUAGAUCGAUGAAGUGCGGAGUGGCUGAAAAGGGAAAAUAAACACUUGCGCCUGAUUAUAUUAUGAAAGUGAAAGGUGUCAUUAUAAGAAGUGGCUGUCGUUUUUUGCAUUGAGCCGCUCUCUCUCUCUCUCUCUCUCUCUCCGUUUCUGCCUGUGUUCCUGCGCCAAGGGUUUAAUUUAAUUGCGUCUCACAGAAAAAAAGAUCGUGAGCGGAGAAAAAUCUGACGUUGCCGUGGAAACCGA
ensembl:lncRNA